ensembl:lncRNA
GCUUCCGGGGGGUUUCACACGAGCCUCUGUGACAAAGAGGUGGCAGGUCUCUGCCUCUGGAUAUGGCUGUGUCUGAGCCUGUGGCCAGGACGUGAGAAGAGCCGAUGGGGGUGACAGGGGCAAGAACAUGCAGAGACCUGACCUGACGAGGGAGGCACCAACCCUGCGGCUGCGUUCCUUUUAGGGUUUUAAUGCCAAGUGAUGACGUGAUGCCACGGUCACAGGCUGUUCUCGGACUCCCGACCUCCCACGUAAACCAACUAAAGUCACCCAAAGGAAGACAGGCCGGGAAGCCUAGGAACCAGACAGUGCCAGGUCAGCAUAGGCCACCUCUGCAAGCAACACUGAGGACGACUAGUCCUCUUCCUACUGAUGAGUUGAAUGUUGUCGCCCAAAGAGUUAUGGAAACAAGUUGAAAACCUUACUGAAAAGCACUAAAGAAAACCUCAAUAAACGAAGCACCACAUCACUCUCACGCAAAGGAAAACGGCCGCAAUAAAGUGUCUGCGCGGGUGUGUGUACUCAGCCACCAGCUCUGAAACGUCGUUAGCGAACCUGAGGGACAAGGGAGUUUGUGCCGCUGAAGCAGCUCACAGCUCUCGCCUCCUCGGGAGGCACGUUUGCGGGAGCUGCUAGUGGAGAUCAUAGCGGAGCAGGUGAGUUAUCAAAUCCAGGAGGAGGAAAUAAAACGUGAAUUUGCAUUUUGCGCCGUCUGUUAAAAUCGACCUGGAUGGUAUUUAAAUGCAGGUGUAACCGUUAACCUUUUAGAAAUGACCAUGGGCGAGUGUUCCGGGUUAGGUCGGAGAAGAAGACUGGAAACCAGGCCAGAGGGCUGUCGACAGGGGCCUGGCUGAGAAACACGACCCGGCCCUUUCCUACAGGGAAGUCGUGUGCGGUUGAAAAGUGAAGGGGGGAGAGCCGUCUCUCGUGCCUGAGGGAAAAAGCAGGAAGAAGGGUGCUCACUUGCUCUUCCUGGGGGAGUGAAGAGGCGCGUCAUGGGUUGCUCUCCCUGGGACCCAUCGCCCAGGUUUUUCAUAGUCUUGUCUCAUCUGUCUUGCCCUCCUUCCUAAUUUUUU